UACGUAGGGUGCGAGCGUUAAUCGGAAUUACUGGGCGUAAAGCGUGCGCAGGCGGUUAUUUAAGUCAGGUGUGAAAGCCCUGGGCUUAACCCUGGACCUGCAUCGGGUACGGGCAGACUAGAGUGUGGUAGGGGAGAUCGGAAUUCCUGGUGUAGCGGUGAAAUGCGCAGAUAUCAGGAGGAACACCGGUGGCGAAGGCGGAUCUCUGGGCCAUAACUGACGCUGAGGAGCGAAAGCAUGGGGAGCGAACAGG
rnacentral:rRNA from 1 species